CGUCAUGAAAGUCGGUAACACCCGAAGCCAGUGGCCUAACCCUUUGGGAGGGAGCUGUCGAAGGUGGGAUCGGCGAUUGGGACGAAGUCGUAACAAGGUANCCGUACCGGAAGGUGCGGCUGGAUCACCUCCUUUCU
rnacentral:rRNA from 1 species